rfam:Myotis davidii contig37865, whole genome shotgun sequence.
GGCGGUUCUCGGGUGACGCACCCUGGAAUCGGGCUCCCUCCUCUCUGGUUCUGGGUGUGUCACCCAAGAACCAUA